UUCAUAAUAAUCCAGAUGCACACACUCAUUAUUGCCACAUUCUGAAUCUAAAUGAACCGAUAAGGAUUUGCUUCAGGAUGUCCUUUUCGGUUAAUGCAUUCCUAUUUGGUUGUUGUUCAUUUUGAAUUUGAAAUCAAGUCUCUUAGGCUUAUUAAGUUUAUGGGUCUUAUUCUUCCAACAGGGAAUGCCAAAGAGGUUCAUGAGAAAAUAGGGUGAAAAUCUCUCAAAAAAGGAUGCUUGUCAAAGUGUGAAAUGGUGCAAUUAUUUGGCCUAAGGAAUUGGAAAAAUGUGAUGAGAUGGUCGUACUUCAAAGGGUUGAAAUGAAUUUGUAGAGCAUUUACCCUAUCUGCGAGGGCCAAUUUUUGGUCUUUAAAUCUGAAGUGGACUCCAUUUUCCAUGUAAUCAUAUUUGAUAAAGGCGUCUCCAAUAUAGCAUGUCCGCCAAUGAGUGGUGAUGCGAGGAACCGAGCCUCAGCAAUUGUGGAUUCGCCUCGCGAAAGUGGAAGAUGCUGGCGAUUGCCGUGAUGUUUCGAUCAAGCUUGAAGUCUUGGGAGAUGAAGUGCAUUGACCCAAGAGUCCUCGGCUUUGUAAGGCAACAAAAUCUGAUCAAAUUUGUGAAGUUCAUGGUGGUUCCUAUGCACAUUCAUCAUUGCGGAGUUUGGGGAGAGACCAAAGUUUAAACUGCUCAUCACGAGAUUUUCGAGGUAAGCUGAAAGAGUUGAGCUUGUGCAGAGCUCUUGAACCGGCCAGCAAAUUUAAGCCCGAGUAUCCUUUCUUCCGAAGUUGCAGCAAGAUGCUUUGAAAAGGAUCCUCCUACUGUCUUCCUCAGAGCUCAUUGGUUGUUGCAAAAUGUCUACUUGAGCAGAGAGUUACCGGCUCACUCCAAAAAUGCGCAUCAAGAAAAGUCCGCUGACCGUGGCUCUCAUAUUUUAAGACAAAUCA